rnacentral:rRNA from 1 species
UUCCGGUUGAUCCUGCCGAAGGCUACUGCUAUUGGAGUUCGAUUAAGCCAUGCGAGUCUAAGGGAUCUUCGGAUCCCUGGCGUAAUGCUCAGUAACACGUGGAUAAUCUACCCUCAGGUGGGGCAUAAACCCGGGAAACUGGGGCCAAUUCCCCAUAAAUACAGAUGGCUGGAAUGCUUCUGUAUUCAAAGCUCCGGCGCCUGAGGAUGAGUCUGCGGCCUAUCAGGUUGUAGUCAGGGUCAAGACCUGACUAGCCAGCGACGGGUAUGGGGUGUGAGAGCACUUGCCCAGAGAUGGUUUCUGAGACACGAAACCAGGCCCUACGGGGCGCAGCAGGCGCGAAAACUUCGCAAUGCGGGAAACCGUGACGAGGGAACUCCGAGUGUCUAUGCAUUGCAUAGACUGUUUUUUAGCCUAAAUAGCUAUUAGAGUAAGGGGUGGGCAAGACCGGUGCCAGCCGCCGCGGUAACACCGGCACCCCGAGUGGUAGCCACUAUUAUUGGGCCUAAAGCGUUCGUAGCCGGUUUGGUAAAUUCUUGGGUAAAUCGUACCGCUCAACGGUGCGGAUUCCGGGGACACUACCAGACUUGAGACCGGGGGAGAUCAGAGGUACUUGCGGGGGAGCGGUGAAAUGUUGUAAUCCCGCAGGGACCACCAGUGGCGAAGGCGUCUGAUCAGAACGGCUCUGACGGUGAGGAACGAAACCCUGGGGCGCAAACGGGAUUAGAUACCCCGGUAGUCCAGGGCGUA